GACGAACGCUGGCGGCGUGCUUAACACAUGCAAGUCGAACGGAAAGGCCCUGCUUGCAGGGUACUCGAGUGGCGAACGGGUGAGUAACACGUGGGUGAUCUGCCCUGCACUUCGGGAUAAGCCUGGGAAACUGGGUCUAAUACCGGAUAGGAGCCAUUUUUAGUGUGAUGGUUGGAAAGUUUUUUUCGGUGUAGGAUGAGCUCGCGGCCUAUCAGCUUGUUGGUGGGGUAAUGGCCUACCAAGGCGGCGACGGGUAGCCGGCCUGAGAGGGUGGACGGCCACAUUGGGACUGAGAUACGGCCCAGACUCCUACGGGAGGCAGCAGUGGGGAAUAUUGCUCAAUGGGCGCAAGCCUGAUGCAGCGACGCCGCGGGGGGGAGGACGGCCUUCGGGUUGUAAACUCCUUUCGCUAGGGACGAAGCUUUUUGUGACGGUACCUAGAUAAGAAGCACCGGCUAACUACGUG
rnacentral:rRNA from 1 species